rnacentral:ncRNA from 1 species
UUCCACUGGGGGAGCGUUUGCUGAGAGGUCUUAGGGAAACUUAGGAUCGACCCUUGGAACCUGUUGGGUAAUGCCUGCGUAGGGAAGUGGCUU